GUCCAAUUUAACACACGUCUUCGCUUUCAUUCCUUGUUAAACUGUUUGACAUAGCAAUCUUAGUGAAUAGAAUGGCAAUCUAUUCAUAUGACACUUAACUUCCAGUACGCUAAAUAUCAAAACCAGAAAGUUUCAACCGUCGACCAGUAAAAGACCAAUCAAACAAAGUUACCAAUCAAAACAACAACAAUUUGCUUACCAAAGACAAAUCACUGUCGUUUCAAAGAAGGUCCGUAAAAAACAUGCUUUAUUGCUACAAACCCUUUAUCUGACAUCAUUGAGAAAUGGCAAACUUGUGAUUCAAAUAUGGACAACUUUGUGUAAAGCUUAAGCAUUUUGAAAACGGAAAGGCUUUUCUAAAAGCUCAGAAACGAUUUAUGACGUAGCUCUUUGACAUGCAGAUAGAAUCAAGAGAAAAAAGAAACCUAUUUUACAUUAGGCAAAUAAUUAAUGUUGUUCAAAAGGAACUUGCUUCGUUUUUCAUCAAACAAUGGAACUGUCUUUACAAAUCGUCUCUUGGAGAAUGGGAUGAUACACACAAAAGUGGCAAAAAAUUUUACACUUUUGAAUCAGGAAGAAAAUUAGACCAAAAAACACGAAAAAAAUAUCAGGAUGGAGACACCAGUAAGUGGGACUGUACGACAUUAUUUGAUGCUAUACUUUUUUCAAAAUCAAUUAAAAAGCAUCUUGAUAAAAACACUAAGGAUGCUGUUCAUGCACUUCGUGGUGAAAGAAACAAGUACGCACAUUGGUAUGAAGGGGAAUGCUCAGAUGAUGAUUUUGAUAAAAUAGUCAAUAUCAUUGAAAAAUCAUUUCAAGAUUUGAAAUUUUCCCUGGAUGAAAUCAAUAAAAUAAAAAAUUAUCGAAACUGUUUUUAUUCGUUCCAAGUUCUUCCUUCAAAACCUAAUCAUUUUUUCGUUGAACGCACUGAAUUACGAGAUAAAAUCA